rnacentral:rRNA from 1 species
UUUUUCGAGAGCUUUCUAGCGAUGGUAGUUUUGUGUGUUUUGGUAGGGUAUUCGCAAAGAUACAAGAGAAGCCCCCUUUCCUCUCUCUUUUUAUCGGUUUGGUUAGGAGGAUAGUACCUUAUUAUAUAGAUAACUAUAGUAAUUUCAGAGCUAAUAUAUAUUAAAAAUCCUAACUUUAGAAGGAAUAUAUUCAUUAGAUUAAAAACUAAUAUCUUCUAGGGCUCUCUAAUAAUUUAUAAUAACUUCUUAAAUUAUAUAGCCUUAUAUUAGUAAUAGUUUAUUUAAAUUUCUACCCUAUUAACUUUCGAUAGCUAGGUCUUAGCUAGCUAUAGUAAUAAUAGGUAAUAGAAGGUUAAGGCUUAACUUUAGAGAAGGAGCCUAAGAAAUGGCUACUAUAUCUAAGGAAGGUAAUAGGUAUAUGAAUUAUCUAAUCCUAAUAUAGGGAGGUAGUAAUAAUAAAUACUAAUAUAAGGCUCUUUUAGGUCUUAUAAUUAGAAUAAGUAUAAUUUAAAUCCCUUAAUAAAGAAUAAUUAAAGGGUAAGUCUAAUACUAGUAGCUAUAGUAAUUCUAGCUCUAAUAGUAUAUAUUAAAGUUAUUAAGGUUAAAAAGCUUAUAGUUAAACCUUAGGCCUAGCCGGCCGGUCUACCUUACUAUAUAUACUAGCUUAGCCAGGUCCUUCCUUCUAAAGAACCGUAUACCUUUUACUAGGUAUACUAGGGAACUAAAACUUUUACUCUAAAUAAAUUAAAUUACUUAAAGAAGGCCUAUACUUAAAUAUAUUAGUAUAGAAUAAUAGAAUAGGAUAUAUAAUUCUAUUUCAUUAGUUUCUAGGACUACUAUAAUAAUUAAUAAGGAUAGUUAGGGGUAUUAGUAUUUAAUUAUUAGAGGUAAAAUUCUUAGAUUUAUUAAAACUAACUACUACGAAAGCAUUUACUAAGGAUAUUUUCAUUAAUUAGGAAUGAAAGUUAGGGGAUUAAAGAUGAUUAGAUACUAUCAUAGUCUUAACUAUAAACUAUACCAAUUAAGGAUCGGAUGGCGUUAUUUUUUGACCUAUUCGGUAUCUUAUAAUAAAUUAAAAUGUUUAGGCUCCUAGGGGAGUAUAGUUAUAAGGCUAAAACUUAAAGAAAUUAAUAGAAGGGUACUACUAGGGGUAGAGCCUACGGCUUAAUUUGACUUAAUAUAGAGAAACUUACUAGGUCUAGAUAUAAUAAAGAUUAAUAGAUUAAAAGCUCUUUCUUAAUUUUAUAGGUAGUAAUAUAUAGCCAUUCUUAAUUAGUAGAGUGAUUUGUCUAUUUAAUUAUAAUAACAAACGAGACCUUAACCUACUAAAUAGCCUAUAUUGCUUUAAUAGUACACCGGCUUCUUAGAAGGAUUAUUAGCUUGAGCCGAUAGAAGUUUAAGGUAAUAAUAGGUCUAUAAUACCCUUAGAUAUUCUAGGCCGUAUAUAUACCAUAUUAAUAGAGCUAGUAAAUACUCCCUUAGCUAGAAGGCCUAGGUAAUCUUAUUAAACUCUAUCAUACUAGGGAUAAAGCAUUACAAUUAUUACUCUUUAAUAAGAAAUCCCUAAUAAGCGUAAGUUAUUAGCUUACAUUGAUUAUAUCCCUGCCCUUUAUAUAUACUACUUAUCGCUAUUAUUAAUUAAAUGGCUUAGUAAGGCUUUCGGACUAGCCUAGAGAGGUUAGUAACGACCACUUAGGGCUAGAAAGUUAUCUAAACAUGGUCAUUUAGAGGAAGUAGAAGUUAUAAUAAGGUCUCUAUAAGUAAACUAGUAAAGGGAUUAUUA